GUGUCAUCAGCAAACAUAUUCAAUUUGGUUUCUAUUAGCUCCCCAUUUUCUUCCCCGGGCAACAUAAUACCUGCAAUGUCUUUUUCUGCCCUUAUUGCACAGGCCAGGGGCUCUGUUUGAAAUAUAUAUAUAUAUAAAAGGGGCUAUAGGACACCCCUGCCUGGCUGAUCUAGAAAUUGAAAAAUAUUUAGAGACGUAACCAUUUGUUUUUAUACAUGUCUUAGCACGUUUUAAUAGCAUUUGAACCCAACCACGAAAAUUGUCCCCAAAAUUAAAUUCCUUCAUAACGAAGUCUAGCCAUCCCCAUUGCAUCCUAUCAAAAGCCUUUUGUUGGUCAAGAAAGACAAUUAUACCCUCUUCAUCCUCACUAUCAAUAUAUUCUAUGAUAUCCUGUAUCAUUCUAUUUGCUUCCGUUAUAUGUCUGCCUUUUACAAACCCUUUUUGGUCGGCAUGUAUAAGCUUUGGAAGGACUAUUUUUAAUCUUUCUGCUAUUAUUUUUGCUAUAAUUUUAUAAUCACAAUUCAUUAAUGUAAGAGGGCG
rnacentral:lncRNA from 1 species